UCAAAAACAUGUCUUUUUGAUAAUAAUUUAAAGUCUAAUCUGCCCACUGAUAUAAAUAUUAAAGGGCUGCAGUAUAUUGACUGUACAAAGGUAGCAUAAUCAUUAGUCUUUUAAUUGAAGACUUGUAUGAAAGAUUUGAUGAAAUAUAAUCUGUCUCUAUAUUAUUAAUAGAAAUUAAUUUUUUAGUUAAAAAGCUAAAAUAAUAUUAAAAGACGAGAAGACCCUAUAAAGUUUUAUAAUUUAUUUAUUUAUUAUUAAUUAUAAAAAUAAAUAUGAUAAUUAAAUAAAUUAUUUUAUUGGGGUGAUAGAAAAAUUAAAUAAACUUUUUUUAAUAUAAAACAUAAAUAAAUGAAAAAUUGAUCCAUUAAUAAUGAUUAAAAGAAAAAAUUACUUUAGGGAUAACAGCGUAAUAUUUUUUUUUAGUACAAAUAAAAAAAAAAGUUUGCGACCUCGAUGUUGGAUUAAGAUAAAAUUUAAAUGCAAAAGUUUAAAAUUUUGAUCUGUUCGAUCAUUAAAAUCUUACAUGAUCUGAGCU
rnacentral:rRNA from 1 species